rnacentral:snRNA from 2 species
GUUCAUUCCUGAACAUAUACUAAAAUUGGGACAAUGCAGCGUAAGAUUAGCAUGGCCCCUGCGCAAGGAUGACACACAAAUUCGUGAAGCGUUC